CUCAUUUAUCUCACUAUCUCUCUAUGUCUAUCUAUCUCCUAUUUCCCUACCGUCCAUCUCUCUCUAUCUGUCUAUCAUCUCUGUCUCUCUAUGUCCAUCUGUCUGUCCGCCUAGCUUGUAAAAAGCGUGGACAGGACAAGCCUCUGAAGUCACCACCCUGCUGAACACCAGGGUUACAGUGACAUGCAAGGCGUCCUGUGUCUCAAGGCCACCGCCGCCUUUGGCUGCAAUAGAGAAGCAUUCUGCAGCCACCGAAAUAGAGACCUGUUUGGUCAGGGUGAGCGUGUGGAGGGGGAUUGGCUGGCAAAGAGGAAGACGGAGUUCCAGGCGGCUUCUAGGCCUGUGACCCAGCUGUGUGAGUCAGCCAGGGAGCAGGAGUGACAGAUAGUGAUGGAAGGGCAGCACAAGUGCGGAGAAGACUCUUCAAGCUGCAAGUGAAGGACCUGUGCAAAGGCACCGAGGAGGGUCCAGGAGGCUGCUGGAGAGCCAGAGGGCCGGGGCUGCUUGGCCCAGGAAGUUGGAACAAGGAGGAUCAAGGGUGCAGCUCCGGCUCAAGGGCAAAGGAGGUGGGUGGAGCACAGUGGGCUCCAAGACCACAGGUGAGAGAUAAAACCAGGAAUCGGUGGGCUUGGAAUCUUCCAGACCAGGAAAUGUGUUCUCCUGUGAGACCAGCUGCUCAUGCUACUGUGAGGGGUGAGCUUGAUCCUGGGGUAAACGGUCAGGAACCUAACGCAGCUCUCACAGGUGGGGUACCCAGAGAGCCAGAGCCCACUGCUGUGCACUUUGUGUGCCAAGGGCUCUGCCUGCUCCCUGGCACCGCGGGUCAGCUGAGCGGAGUCUGCUGCAGCUGCCAGAGGUCCUUGGCCUGGGCCUUGUGGGGCACAGUAGGGAACAAGGGCUCCAGGAUGAAAGCCUCCUCCCUGCGGGGACCAGAUAUGGCAGGUCAGGUCCCUGAAGAACAAAUUGCCAGAGAGAGGAGGCGGAGUCCCUGGACAGCGUGCUGCAGAGGGGAGGAGCCUUUGGGAGCUACACUGAAGAUUCUGUUGGACCUUCUCCUCCGUGUGGAGCAAUGGGUGAGCUGCUCAGUGACGCUGCAGCCUUCGUUUCCUGUGCUCUGUUAUCACAGGAGGCCCACAAGGCCCUCCGCUUAGAGGACGAGGACGCGUUUAGGAGAUGAGCAGAAUGAAAGGAGGACGGAUGGUGGAGAGGCCCUCAGGACGCUGCUGUGCGACACGCUGCUCAGGGUGGCUGCACGUUGCACACUGCGGCUGUGGUGAGGAAACAAAGCACGUGUCUCUCUGUCCAGUGUCCUGUCACUCCUGCUGCAGAUGGAUUCUCCAGCACCUGUUCCACACCGGAAGUCUUAAGUCAGUGCUGGCUCAGAGGGAAAGUGUGUGUGGACAUCUGGGGCCUGUGACUCGCUUCCCAAGAUGCCAGCCCUUAACCACGCAGCCUGUGGGCCACAAGUCAGGACCAGCUGCCAGAAGGACCAGCCCUUGGCAGCCUGGGCCUCGGAUGCACGUGCUCUCUGAUGUCCAGGGACUUUGGAGGGAGAUUGGUACUUCCCUGGCAUUCAGAAAUGAAGACCACUUAAAGUAGGCUGUCAAAGGAACCUUGUGACCCUGUGAGGACAGCGCUGGAGCAGCGAGGCCAGGCCACCACUGGGCAGGCGGCGCCCCUCCCUGUGAUCGCCCUCUCAGCACCCUUAGUGUGGGACACAGCCAGGGUUGUUCUGCAGAGAGAGAAUCUCAAAACUUGGGACAUUCAGAGAGUCCACUGCCUUCAAGAGAAAAAGAAGAUUUGGCUCUGAGGAUGAAGGUUUUGGGAAGUUGGCUUCCCGAAGUUCAGCAGAAGCAAACAGGAUUGAGGGCAGCCCGGCCGGGGCAGACUUGGCUUCUGUCUCGAUGCCCCCAAGAGCCUCAGGCCAUCGAAAGUGGAGCUUUCGGGAUUGCAGGGGUUAGAGCUGACUGGUGUUAGGCAGCAGAGCCUAGUUGCAGAAGACAGGUCACCGGAGGCGUGGUCACCGGAGGCGUGGCCACGCCCUUCCUGCUCCUCGCUCUGCCCUCCCCCCACUUCCUGUCUGCCCUGCGUGAGCAGCCUGCCUGGAGCCAGGACCCAGGCUGGAAACAGGAGAACAAAUCGCCCUCUCCUCCUUUUAGUUGCAGGCAUUAGUUAUUUUGUCACUGCAGAGAGAAAAAUGACUAAGACACUCAUCUUAGAUAAUUAUCUUCCAGCAAAAUAAAGAAGCAAAUUUCUGAGCUCUUCACGGAAGAAAUUAUGUAAAUGCAUCACAGAAACUAAAAAUAGAACAACUUUGAUUCUCGCCGGACCACGAGAUGGAAGGGAAAUCAAA